rnacentral:rRNA from 1 species
UACGGGGGGGGACGAGUGUUACUCAUAGUGACUGGGCGUAAAGGGUACGUAGGCGGCACUUUAAAUUUCAAUAGGAAGGUCCAUGGCGUAACCGUGGUAAUUUGGAAGACUGUAGUGCUUUGAGUUUGGCAGAGGUUGGCGGUACUCUUAGGGUAGGAUUGAAAACCAUAAAAACCUAAGGGGACUCACAAUGGCGAAGGCAGCUAACCGGGUCCUAACUGACGCUGAGGUACGGAGGCAUGGGGGAUCGAACAGG